UAUGCUGCAGGUGGGACCCUAAAAAGACAAAAAAAAAAAAAAAAAGUCAGUACAAAAUUCAGAGUUCUAUUUUUGACCAGGUUUUAAGUUUCAGAUCUUAAGAAGACCUCCAAGACUGGCUGUCAGGUAAGCAUUGGAUAUAUGAAUGCAGAGUUCAGGAUGCCUUUCCACUUAGUCUGGAUUCAUCUGCAUGCCUGUGUAAGACUGGAUAUGCUCUCCUAGAGAGAGAAAAGAAGACCACACGCAGCUCUGGCACUUGUCAAUCCUCCCAACAUUGAUUAGGGAAGGAGGAGGAAGCGAUUCGGAAGGAACUGUCCUGAGAAAGGAGGAAAACUAGUGUCGUUGUGGAAGGCAAGAGAUGUUUCAGGUAGGAGGCAGGGGUCAUCCUUUUCAAGCUGACAGGUCGAGAAAGGCCAGAAAGAAGGGACAUUUAGAUUUGGCAAGAUGAAGAGCCUUGAAACAGUUGCAGGGGAUGGAUGCAGUCAGAAGCCCCAUUCUAGUAGGUUGCUGAAAUCAUUAACCAAUUAAAAAAAAAAAAAGAAGACAUAGCAACUAUAGGCAGUUAUAGCAGAAGAGCUGGGAAAAACACCUGGACUUCCCCUGAGGACAAUGCUCUUUCCACUUGCCUUAUUCCUUAAUGUUUUCCCUACUGUUUUCCUUUGUGCUACAUGGUCCUCUGGGCUAGUGCCCAAAGCCCAGUGAGGAGUAAAUGGUCUGGGAGCCCCAGGCAGGAUGGUCCUGGGCAGGGGGGCAGACCCUCCCCUGCUUUUUCUGCUUUCCUAACUGCACACCAGCACUGAAAGUUAUAAGAUCAUGGUCAAAGACAGAAUGUUGGAUUUUCUGACUCUAUUGUAUGUGGGAUCUUCAGCCUGGCAGCACCUUCAUUUCAGUUCUUUCAUUUAAUUUACUUCAUUUCUCAAAAGCAGCAGAGAACGAGUUGUGUUUGUGUCAAUUUAUUUUAAUGUAUAAUGAGCGAUUCAAAUGAUUGCACAUCACACAUUCAAAUUUUGUUGAAUGUGUAAUCAUUUAAAUGAACACAGGUGCCACACGCCUGUGUGCGCCUGGAAAAACCACCCUCUGUGCUUCUUGUGGAAAGAAGAUGAUGUACUUGGCUGUAUACAGCUCACAUCUUAAUUUCUUUUUAAUUUCGUUUUUCCUCCACUGCUUUGUUUUUUCCAUCCAAUAAAGCAUGCCAAACCCUGGGUGUUGUCAGGUAGGUGUUUGGCCCAACAGCAAAGCAGAAACCAUUCUUAAAUACACAUGAAGCAGCAAGCCAGCAAACGUGGAGUGUAUUUUUAACUUGGGGAUGAAAAAGUCAAUCCGCGCUCUUCGAAAUUAGCAUUUUCGGGAAGGUAUGAAACCCUAGAAACCAGGAUGAAAGAAAUUAAAUUGUCCUUUCUGAUGAUGCUCCUGUGAGGUAGGAAUAAUGGCACUGAGACUUCUCUCAAUGUCACUCCUGACAGUUUAGUGUCAACCCUCCCAGGCGAACUAACAUAAUCAACUCUGGCAUGUUUCACCGUCGCGCUGACUGGAACGACAUUAUUAAUACAACCAUGUUAUUUCAUAAUUAACUUACCUUUUCUUUUACAGACAGGAACUACAUCUACUAAAAUGAAAGCACUUGGGGUUUCCCUGAAUAGGUUCCCGAACUGUUUAUACACCCACGUGACCAGAUCGCAGUGGAAGCUUAGAUGUAAGAUGCAGUUCAUUCUCGCCGCCUAACCUGUUCCCGUCAUUACGAGGGAGUCAGAGGUCCUUGUUCCCCACCGAAACGAAGUGUUCCAGAAAUCCUUCACUCCUGUCACUUUGUCACACCCAAAUACACGCGCACAAUAAGCUGAGAAACCAAGGCUUUCUCAAGAUGAGGUAUGGGGACCACUUUCAGUGGACUCACCUGAGGGGCUUAUUGAAAAGUACUGGUUCCUGUUGCCACACCACUCAGUCGGGGGCCCUGAAGGAAGCCCCGGCAUCGGCAUCUUUAACAGGCUCUCCAAGGGUGGGUAUGUCCUCUAGUGCUUAAGGACCGCUGAACUCAGGUGUUCUGUAUCAGCCAUAUUUCACAUGUGAUACCAUUUGCUUGUCAUUAAACCAUUUCCUCGUGUGUGUGUGAGAGAGAGAGAAAUACCGGAUCCUACUAUAUCGCAAUUAGGAUGGGUGCCUAAAUGCCCAGCGAACAUGCUCUUCUUCGCAAUGCUACCCUCAUAGAGUCUACAAAGUGAGACAUCAUCACAGAAAUCAUCAGAUGAGGGGUGUUGCAGAUGUUUAAGAGAUCUUAAGUGUAUUGGACAGAAUGCCUCUACGUGAUCUGUUUUACUUUCUAGUCCUCCAAACCCAGAG